AGGAAGCGGAUGCAAAGUGUUUAGUGCGUAAUAAAGUUAUUGGGAAAACCAUACAUCGCGUGUGUUUGAACGUGUUCACUAAGUCGGAUUCUAAUAAAUGUGAAGUGGCGAAAACAAAAGGGCUCAAGUGGAAGUAUGUGGCACAGCUUGCGCGGUUUCAACCGCACAAAACAGAGAGAGAGAGACAGAUUCGUUGUGUUUAAAGGAAGCAAAGUGACGAGUAAAGUUAACGGCUGCAACCACAAACAGCAUGUUUAGCUUUUUCGCGUAUGUAUUGCUGCAAGUGGGCAAUGCAAAAGAGGCAGCAAACGGAGAUGUAGGACGCGAGUCCAAAUCAAAAGCAAAUCUUGUUACGACAAAUUUCAGCCACUGUGCGACCGAGUGAAACAAAGACCAGCGUCAGCGAUGACGAGAAGAAGGACGUCACCGGCGGGGUUCGGGACUCGACGACAUCCGAUGCGACUCCAUUGCGAAAUCAACGAGAGCUGGGAAUUAAUGCGAAAAGAGAAAACACUGCCAGUUGUUGAUGUUUUUGGUUCUUGGAGCGAUUGAAACUGGGCAGGAUUUUCCGUAAGACGCUGUCGCGCAGGACUUCACUCGAUUUCCGUUGCGUGCACUUUUGCGGCCGGCUUUUCCUUUUUGCGCAUGGUAAUGGAGCUGGCCAGCAUAGCAGAAAUGCAGGCCGCAGAAGCCAUGA
rnacentral:sRNA from 1 species